UAAAAUCCCCUGGUUUGUGGGACUAAUUAAGGAUUAUUUUACUUUAGUUGAUCAUAAUUUAUAUUGGAAAAAGUUUCUUCUAUACAAGACGUAGCAGAGACCAAACCAGCAACACAGAAAACAAGAGCGCCGUCUUUUCACAAUUGUGCAUUUCCUGCAGCGGUGACCUGGAUCUUCUGGGACUUGUCCUUGUGGCGUAGACAAAGGUUCCCAUACCUAAGUCAGAGACUGGCUGGAGACAAGGAGACAAACCCGUCUGGUGUGUGGAUAUCCUGGCGCCUGACAGUCGCUCCCUGGCCCACUGCUGCUGCUGCUGCCGCUGCUGCUGCUGCUGCUGCUGCUGCU